rnacentral:RNase_P_RNA from 2 species
UGUUUAUAGUGGAUAAUCGCCUGUCGCUUCGGUGCGGUUGGAGGAAAGUCCGAACACCCUCAGUGAGUAAUCGCUGAGUCAAAGGCAGUGGGUAAUACCCACCCUGCCGGCAGUGAUGUCGGUGGCGGGAAAGUGGCACAGAGACAAUACUAGUGAGUUUAGAAGUACGAUGGUCGCCAGAGGCGACUGCUCGCAAUUUCUAUUGCUCGCGAAAGGUGAAAAGUGUAUGGAAGUUGUGGUUCUCGAGACCAGAGCUACCAUACUCGACUCGUUCGCAAGAGCGAGCCAGUGCUAAACCCUACCUGGUGCAAGAGCAGCCUUACGCGAUAAGCGUUUGGAAAAGUUCGCUCGCAUUAUGAUUCGGUCAGUAAUGGCCGGGCUAGAGAAAUGAUUAUCACUUGUCCGCCAGGGCAAGGAACAAAAUUCGGCUUAUAGCUAUAAACGAAAU